AGUGUCAGUCAAUCCAGGGAGGUCAUUGUCACCCUUUUUCACAAUCACCAAGUUCAAAACAGAGAGAUCGGGGCUGACAAUGCACCCACGAACAGACUUCCUCCUCCUCUCACCGUUUCUCCUUCCAUAACCACGGAAGCAAGGAGUGCCUGUCCAAAUACAUUUACCAGGUUAGUUAAAAUGAAGACAAGCUUCUGGGGAAUUUAUUCAUGAAUGGAACAAAAUACUGAUAUAAAGCAUGAGUUUAAAACAACCUCUGUGUAGCAAGAGGCGAACACGGCCAGGGGUCAACACUCCCUGCUUCAUGGGGAAACCUUGCUUGUCGCAACCUCCCAUGAUCUUGAAAACAUAGCCCUUAA
rnacentral:lncRNA from 1 species